GACGAACGCUGGCGGCGUGCCUAAUACAUGCAAGUCGAGCGCAGGAAGCUCACGGAACUCUUCGGAGGGAAGUGAAGGGAAUGAGCGGCGGACGGGUGAGUAACACGUAAGGAACCUGCCCCAAGGAUUGGGAUAACUCCGAGAAAUCGGAGCUAAUACCGAAUAGUUCUUCAGACCGCAUGGUCUGAUGAUGAAAGGCGCUUCGGCGUCACCUUGGGAUGGCCUUGCGGUGCAUUAGCUAGUUGGUGGGGUAAUGGCCCACCAAGGCGACGAUGCAUAGCCGACCUGAGGUGGGGAUCGGCCACACUGGGACUGGGACACGGCCCAGACUCCUACGGGAGGCAGCAGUAGGGAAUCUUCCACAAUGGACGAAAGUCUGAUGGAGCAACGCCGCGUGAGUGAUGAAGGUUUUCGGAUCGUAAAACUCUGUUGUAAGGGAAGAGCAGGUAUGAGAGGUAAUGCUCAUGCUAUGACGGUACCUUGCGAGAAAGCCACGGCUAACUACGUGCCAGCCGCCGCAGUAAGAC
rnacentral:rRNA from 1 species